rnacentral:rRNA from 1 species
GACGAACGCUGGCGGCGUGCUUAACACAUGCAAGUCGAACGGAAAGGCCCUGCUUUUGUGGGGUGCUCGAGUGGCGAACGGGUGAGUAACACGUGAGUAACCUGCCCUUGACUUUGGGAUAACUUCAGGAAACUGGGGCUAAUACCGGAUAGGAGCUCCUGCUGCAGGGUGGGGGUUGGAAAGUUUCGGCGGUUGGGGAUGGACUCGCGGCUUAUCAGCUUGUUGGUGGGGUAGUGGCUUACCCAGGCUUUGACGGGUAGCCGGCCUGAGAGGGGGACCGGCGACAUGGGGCCUGAGAUACGGCCCAGACUCCUACGGGAGGCAGCAGUGGGGAAUAUUGCACAAUGGGCGGCAGCCUGAUGCAGCAACGCCGCGUGGGGGAGGGCGGCCUUCGGGUUGUAAACCGCUUUCGCCUGUGACGAAGCGUGAGUGACGGUAAUGGGUAAGGAAGCACCGGCUAACUACGUG